rnacentral:rRNA from 1 species
UACGAAGGGGGGCUAGCGUUGUUCGGAAUUACUGGGCGUAAAGCGUAUGCGGGCGGAUCGUUAAGUCGGGGGUGAAAUCCCGAGGCUCAACCUCGGAACUGCCUUCGAUACUGGCGAUCUUGAGUCCGGGAGAGGUGAGUGGAACUCCGAGUGUAGAGGUGAAAUUCGUAGAUAUUCGCAAGAACACCAGUGGCGAAGGCGGCUCACUGGCCCGGUACUGACGCUGAGGUGCGAAAGCGUGGGGAGCAAACGGG